rnacentral:rRNA from 1 species
UGGGGAAUAUUGCACAAUGGGGGAAACCCUGAUGCAGCGACGCCGCGUGAACGAAGAAGGUAUUCGUAUCGUAAAGUUCUGUCCUAUGGGAAGAUAAUGACAGUACCAUAGAAGAAAGCUCCGGCUAAAUACGUGCCAGCAGCCGCGGUAAUACGUAUGGAGCGAGCGUUGUCCGGAAUUAUUGGGCGUAAAGGGUACGCAGGCGGUUUAAUAAGUCGAAUGUUAAAGAUCGGGGCUCAACCCCGUAAAGCAUUGGAAACUGAUAAACUUGAGUAGUGUAGAGGAAAGUGGAAUUCCUAGUGUAGUGGUGAAAUACGUAGAUAUUAGGAGGAAUACCAGUAGCGAAGGCGACUUUCUGGACACAAACUGACGCUGAGGUACGAAAGCGUGGGGAGCAAACAGG